GAUGAACGCUGGCGGCGCGCCUAACACAUGCAAGUCGAACGGUUAAAGCACCUUUUAGGUGUGUAUAAAGUGGCGAACGGCUGAGUAACACGUGGGCAACCUGCCCUCCUCUUGGGGAUAGCCUCGGGAAACCGAGGAUAAUACCCGAUACUUCAAUGUGGCCGCAUGACGACAUUGAGAAAGCUUUUGCGGAGAAGGAUGGGCCCGCGGCCUGUUAGCUUGUUGGUGGGGUAGAGGCCUACCAAGGCAAUGAUGGGUAGCUGGGUUGAGAGACCGACCAGCCAGAUGGGGACUGAGACACGGCCCAGACCCCUACGGGGGGCAGAGGGGGGGAAUCUUGAAAAAGGGGCGAAAGCCGGAUGCAGCGACGCCGCGGGGGGGAAGAAGGCCUUCGGUUUGGAAACCGCUUUCAGCAGGGACGGGGCGAUAAGUGACGGUACCUGCAGAAGAAGCCCCGGCUAACUACGU
rnacentral:rRNA from 1 species